GUGAGGAAUAUUGGUCAAUGGGCGAGAGCCUGAACCAGCCAAGUCGCGUGAAGGAAGAAGGAUCUAUGGUUCGUAAACUUCUUUUGCAGGGGAAUAAAGUGCAGGACGUGUCCUGUUUUGUAUGUACCCUGAGAAUAAGGAUCGGCUAACUCCGUGCCAGCAGCCGCGGUAAUACGGAGGAUCCGAGCGUUAUCCGGAUUUAUUGGGUUUAAAGGGUGCGUAGGUGGUUUGAUAAGUCAGCGGUGAAAGUUUGUAGCUUAACUGUAAAAAUGCCGUUGAAACUGUCGGACUUGAGUGUAAAUGAGGUAGGCGGAAUGCGUGGUGUAGCGGUGAAAUGCAUAGAUAUCACGCAGAACUCCGAUUGCGAAGGCAGCUUACUAAGCUACAACUGACACUGAAGCACGAAAGCGUGGGGAUCAAACAGGAUUAGAAACCCUAGUAGUCC
rnacentral:rRNA from 1 species